rnacentral:tRNA from 8 species
GGGGCCGUGGCAGAGCGGCCCAUUGCGAUCGGUGCGGGCGAGGCCCCGCUCACGCCGACUGACGGGGAACGGGCGGGUCUGCCCCUCCCUGUCCGCGGGUUCGAAUCCCGUCGGCCCCG